UACAGAGGUCUCAAGCGUUGUUCGGAUUCAUUGGGCGUAAAGGGUGUGUAGGUGGCGCGCUAAGUCGGGUGUGAAAUUUCGGAGCUUAACUCCGAAACUGCAUUCGAUACUGGCGUGCUUGAGGACUGGAGAGGAGACUGGAAUUCAUGGUGUAGCAGUGAAAUGCGUAGAGAUCAUGAGGAAGACCAGUGGCGAAGGCGGGUCUCUGGACAGUUCCUGACGCUGAGGCACGAAGGCCCAGGGGGGAGCAAAACGGG
rnacentral:rRNA from 1 species